GCGCCCCCGAUGCCACACUCUGCAUCCGCCACUGCUCUCAGGAGACGUUGAGCACCGGAGGAGAGCGGUCGCGUGUUGUCGUCGUUCCUGUUCUGGGUGUUUCGGCGUGGCGUUGGUGGCUCGGACUGUUCUGACUGUGUGUUUGUGCCUUGCUAGUGAUGUCUGGACAUGUUUCUCUGUUUGUACGCCUUGCGAGAUACGACCAGAAGCCGUUGGAUUUCGUGAAUGGAAGACGCUUUUGACAGAUUUGUUUCUGUGCACAAGACAAAUGGGCUGUCGCACUCCCGACGUAGGAAAUGAACACACACGUCGCUGAGAUCUUAAAAGACAAAGUAGGGUGUGCACUUCACCCAUGCAACUCCAAUGUCUGCUUCAUGGCAGUGCAAGCUUUUACAACCGUGCCCUUGAAUGUAACAAGCCAAAUAAACUGGAUAACAG